CUGUAGUGGUAGUUGGGCUAGCUGUGGUAGUUGUUGAUCCAGCGGAGGUAGUUGUUAGGGCAGCUGUGGUAGUUGUUGGGGCAGAUGUGGUAGUUUUUGGUGCAGCUGUGGUAGUCGUUAGUCCGACGGUGGUAGUUGUGGGGGAAGCUGUGGUUGUUGUUGGUACAGCAGUAUUGGAUGUUGGUCCAGUGUUGGUAGUUGUUGGUUCAGCUGUGGUUGUUGUUGGUACAGCAGUAGUGGUUGUUGGUUCAGCGGUGGUUGUUGUUGGGGCAGUUGUGGUAGUUGUUGGUCCAGCUGUGGUUGUUGUCGGUCCAGCAGUAGUGAUUGUUGGGGUAGUUGUGGUAGUAGUUGGGCCAGCUGUGGUAGUCGUUGGUGCAGCUGUGGUUGUUGUUGAUCCAGCUGUGGUAGUUGUUGGGGCAGCUGUGGUAGUUGUUGGGGCGGCUGUGGUUGUUGUUGAUCCAGCCGUGGUAGUUGUUGGUCCAGCUGUGGUAGUUGUUGGGGCUGCUGUGGUAGUUGUUGGGGCAGCUGUGGUGGUUGUUGGUCCAGCUGUUGUUGUAGUAAGGGCAGCUGUGGUAGUCGUUGGGGCAGCUGUGGUAGUUGUUGGUCCAGCGGAGGUAGUUGUUGGUCCAGCUGUGGUUGUUGUCGGUCCAGCAUUAGUGGUUGUUGGUCCGGCGGUGGUAUUUGUUGAGGCAGUUGUGGUUGUUGCUGGUCCAGCUGUGGUAAUUGUUGGGGCAGCUGUGGUUGUUGUUGGGGCAGCUGUGGUAGUCGUUUGGGCAGCUGUGGUUGUUGUUGAUCCAGCUGUGGUAGUUGUUGGUCCAGCUGUGGUAGUUGUUGGGGCAGCUGUGGUAUUUGUUGGUCCAGCUGUGGUUGUUGUUGGGGCAGCUGUGGUAG
ensembl:lncRNA